GCCUCAUUUUCCACUGAACUGACAUGC
rnacentral:piRNA from 1 species